AUGCGAUCCACAGAUACGGCUCACAGUGAGAGAAGGAUUCUGGAUGCGAUCCAACGGCUGACAUCCAUCCCGACCCAGAUUUGACGGUCCACGUUUGCUGCCGGUUUAUAAGAAGAGGAUUUGCGCGAUCUGACGGCCCAAAAGUGAUCCAUCAAGUGAUUGGACGACUGAGGAUAUUUCCGACUUUGAAUAGGAGAUCUUUUACAUGAUCCGACAGCCAAAACUUCAUCAGAACCU
rnacentral:lncRNA from 1 species